rnacentral:ncRNA from 1 species
GUUAAAGCGAUGAUUGGGAAGAGUACUUUGCGUACGCAGCGUCAGCGAGUCGGGGAUUCGGUGGGAGCCCGGCCGCUGCAGCACAGGAAAAUCACCCAUGAGCGUCUCUUGAAAUCAAGUAGAGCAGAUCGGCUGAUCCCGUUACAGAUCAAUGAGUGAAGGCAUGCACGCCGGAGAUCAAUGUACGUAUGACAUGCGAUUGACCGUGCCGUCAGCCUUAAUCAGGGUGGUACCGCGAGACUUCUCGUCCCUUUU